GCCGUCGUAGCUUAGCGGUAAAGCACGUCAUUGGUAAUGACGAGACCAAGGGUUCGAUCCCCUUCGACGGCUCCA
rnacentral:tRNA from 1 species